rnacentral:rRNA from 1 species
UACAGAGGUCUCAAGCGUUGUUCGGAUUCAUUGGGCGUAAAGAGCUCGUAGGCGGUUCAGCAAGCCGGCUGUGAAAGUCCGAGGCUCAACCUCGGAAUUGCAGUCGAUACUGCUGUGACUCGAGUCCGGUAGAGGAGAAUGGAAUUCUCGGUGUAGCGGUGAAAUGCGCAGAUAUCGAGAGGAACACCAGUAGCGAAGGCGGUUCUCUGGGCCGGCACUGACGCUGAGGAGCGAAAGCGUGGGGAGCAAA